rnacentral:rRNA from 1 species
AUUGAACGCUGGCGGCAUGCUUUACACAUGCAAGUCGAACGGUAACAGGCCGCAAGGUGCUGACGAGUGGCGAACGGGUGAGUAAUGCAUCGGAGCGUGCCCAGUCGUGGGGGAUAACGCAGCGAAAGCUGCGCUAAUACCGCAUACGAUCUAUGGAUGAAAGCGGGGGACCGUAAGGCCUCGCGCGAUUGGAGCGGCCGAUGUCAGAUUAGGUAGUUGGUGGGGUAAAGUCUCACCAAGCCAACGAUCUGUAGCUGGUCUGAGAGGACGACCAGCCACACUGGGACUGAGACACGGCCCAGACUCCUACGGGAGGCAGCAGUGGGGAAUUUUGGACAAUGGGCGCAAGCCUGAUCCAGCAAUGCCGCGUGCAGGAAGAAGGCCUUCGGGUUGUAAACUGCUUUUGUCAGGGAAGAAAUCUUCUGGGCUAAUACCCCGGGAGGAUGACGGUACCUGAAGAAUAAGCACCGGCUAACUACGUGCCAGCCGCCGCAGUAACAC